AGAUUGAACGCUGGCGGCAGGCCUAACACAUGCAAGUCGAGCGGUAGAGAGAAGCUUGCUUCUCUUGAGAGCGGCGGACGGGUGAGUAAUGCCUAGGAAUCUGCCUGGUAGUGGGGAUAACGUUCGGAAACGGACGCUAAUACCGCAUACGUCCUACGGGAGAAAGCAGGGGACCUUCGGGCCUUGCGCUAUCAGAUGAGCCUAGGUCGGAUUAGCUAGUUGGUGAGGUAAUGGCUCACCAAGGCGACGAUCCGUAACUGGUCUGAGAGGAUGAUCAGUCACACUGGAACUGAGACACGGUCCAGACUCCUACGGGAGGCAGCAGUGGGGAAUAUUGGACAAUGGGCGAAAGCCUGAUCCAGCCAUGCCGCGUGUGUGAAGAAGGUCUUCGGAUUGUAAAGCACUUUAAGUUGGGAGGAAGGGCAGUUACCUAAUACGUGAUUGUUUUGACGUUACCGACAGAAUAAGCACCGGCUAACUCUGUG
rnacentral:rRNA from 1 species